UACGGAGGGUGCAAGCAUUAAUCGGAUUUAUUGGGUGUAAAGGGCGCGUAGGCGGGUAGGUAAGUCAGAUGUGAAAUUCCGGAGCUCAAUUCCGGAGCUGCAUUUGAAACUGCCAAUCUUGAGGAUAGACGGAGAAAAUGGAAUUCCACAUGUAGCGGUGAAAUGCGUAGAUAUGUGGAGGAACACCUGUGGCGAAAGCGGUUUUCUAGUUUAUAUCUGACGCUGAGGCGCGAGAGCAAGGGGAGCAAACAGG
rnacentral:rRNA from 1 species